AAAAAGGCAAACCGUGGGUUUCCGUGCCAACGUUUGACUGUCCGUCUUAUAUAAAUUUUUUUUAUAAUUACUAUUUUCAUUAUUGUUAGAUGAUAAAACAUGAUUAAUACUUUAUGCGUGACUUAUCUUUUUAAUUUUUUAUAUUUUUUUAAAUAAGAUGUACGGUCAAACGUUGAACACGGAAAUCAGAGUUUGUCUUUUU
rfam:Oryza glumipatula chromosome 11, whole genome shotgun sequence.